GGCACAGAGGUUUAGUGGUUAGCACAUUUGACUCGCACCUCCAGGGUUGCGGGCUCGAAUCCAGCCUCCGCCC